rnacentral:rRNA from 1 species
GGCCUAACACAUGCAGUCGAGGGGCAGCGGGGAUAGCAAUAUCUGCCGGCGACCGGCGCACGGGUGCGUAACACGUGUGCAAUCUGCCUGCAACCGGGGGAUAACCCGUUGAAAGACGGACUAAUACCUCAUAAAACAGGGGUACCGCAUGGUACAAUUUGUUAAAGAUUUAUCGGUUGCAGAUGAGCACGCGCAACAUUAGAUAGUUGGAGAGGUAACGGCUCCCCAAGUCUACGAUGUUUAGGGGUUCUGAGAGGAAGGUCCCCCACACUGGAACUGAGACACGGUCCAGACUCCUACGGGAGGCAGCAGUGAGGAAUAUUGGUCAAUGGUCGAGAGACUGAACCAGCCAAGUCGCGUGAAGGAAGAAGGUUCUAUGGAUUGUAAACUUCCUUUGCAGGGGAAUAAAGUUGGUUACGUGUAACCAUUUGUAUGUACCCUGCGAAUAAGGAUCGGCUAACUCCGUGCCAGCAGCCGCGGUAAUACGGAGGAUCCGAGCGUUAUCCGGAUUUAUUGGGUUUAAAGGGUGCGUAGGCGGGAGAUCAAGUCAGCGGUGAAAUUUUUGAGCUUAACUGAAAACUUGCCGUUGAAACUGGUUUUCUUGAGUACGGAACGGGCAGGCGGAAUGCGUGGUGUAGCGGUGAAAUGCAUAGAUAUCACGCAGAACCCCGAUCGCGAAGGCAGCUUGCCGGGCCGUAACUGACGCUGAUGCACGAAAGCGCGGGUAUCAAACAGGAUUAGAUACCCUGGUAGUCCGCGCCGUAAACGAUGAAUACUAACUGUUUGCGAUAUACAGUAAGCGGUACAGCGAAAGCGUUAAGUAUUCCACCUGGGGAGUACGUCGGCAACGAUGAAACUCAAAGGAAUUGACGGGGGCCCGCACAAGCGGAGGAACAUGUGGUUUAAUUCGAUGAUACGCGAGGAACCUUACCCGGGCUUGAAAUGUACUCGAAUAAGAAGGAAACUUUUUAGCCAGCAAUGGCGAGUAUGUAGGUGCUGCAUGGUUGUCGUCAGCUCGUGCCGUGAGGUGUCGGCUUAAGUGCCAUAACGAGCGCAACCCCUAUCAUUAGUUGCCAUCAUUAAGUUGGGGACUCUAAUGAGACUGCCGCCGUAAGGUGCGAGGAAGGCGGGGAUGACGUCAAAUCAGCACGGCCCUUACGUCCGGGGCGACACACGUGUUACAAUGGGGGGUACAGAGGGCAGCGACGGAGCGAUCCGAAGCGAAUCUCACAAAACCCCUCUCAGUUCGGAUUGGAGUCUGCAACUCGACUCCAUGAAGCUGGAUUCGCUAGUAAUCGCGCAUCAGCCACGGCGCGGUGAAUACGUUCCCGGGCCUUGUACACACCGCCCGUCAAGCCAUGGGAGCCGGGGGGACCUGAAGUACGCGACCGCGAGGAGCGUCCUAGGGAAAACCCCGGAAAGGGG